UGCCUGGCAGUCCAGUGGUUAGGACUCUGCGCUUUCACCGCCAUGGUCCAGGUUCAAUCCCUGGUCAGGGAA
rnacentral:tRNA from 1 species